rnacentral:rRNA from 1 species
GUGCCAGCAGCCGCGGUAAUACCGGCAGCCCGAGUGAUGGCCGAUCUUAUUGGGCCUAAAGCGUCCGUAGCUGGCUGCGCAAGUCCGUCGGGAAAUCCACUCGCCCAACGAGUGGGCGUCCGACGGAAACUGCAUAGCUUGGGACCGGAAGGCUCGAAGGGUUCGGGCGGGGUAGGAGUGAAAUCCUAGAAUCCCGUACGGACCACCGAUGGCGAAAGCACUUCGAGAAAACGGAUCCGACAGUGAGGGGCGAAAGCUAGGAUCGCGAACCGGAUUAGAAACCCGAGUAGUCC